GAUGAACGCUGGCGGCGUGCCUAAUACAUGCAAGUCGAGCGAACAGACGAGGAGCUUGCUCCUCUGACGUUAGCGGCGGACGGGUGAGUAACACGUGGAUAACCUACCUAUAAGACUGGGAUAACUUCGGGAAACCGGAGCUAAUACCGGAUAAUAUAUUGAACCGCAUGGUUCAAUAGUGAAAGACGGUUUUGCUGUCACUUAUAGAUGGAUCCGCGCCGCAUUAGCUGGUUGGUAAGGUAACGGCUUACCAAGGCAACGAUGCGUAGCCGACCUGAGAGGGUGAUCGGCCACACUGGAACUGAGACACGGUCCAGACUCCUACGGGAGGCAGCAGUAGGGAAUCUUCCGCAAUGGGCGAAAGCCUGACGGAGCAACGCCGCGUGAGUGAUGAAGGUCUUCGGAUCGUAAAACUCUGUUAUUAGGGAAGAACAAAUGUGUAAGUAACUAUGCACGCCUUGACGGUACCUAAUCAGAAAGCCACGGCUAACUACGUG
rnacentral:rRNA from 1 species